GACGAACGCUGGCGGCGUGCCUAAUACAUGCAAGUAGAACGCUGAAGGAGGAGCUUGCUUCUCCGGAUGAGUUGCGAACGGGUGAGUAACGCGUAGGUAACCUGCCUGGUAGCGGGGGAUAACUAUUGGAAACGAUAGCUAAUACCGCAUAACAGUAGAUAUUGCAUGAUAUCUGCUUGAAAGGUGCAAUUGCAUCACUACCAGAUGGACCUGCGUUGUAUUAGCUAGUUGGUGAGGUAACGGCUCACCAAGGCGACGAUACAUAGCCGACCUGAGAGGGUGAUCGGCCACACUGGGACUGAGACACGGCCCAGACUCCUACGGGAGGCAGCAGUAGGGAAUCUUCGGCAAUGGACGGAAGUCUGACCGAGCAACGCCGCGUGAGUGAAGAAGGUUGUCGGAUCGUAAAGCUCUGUUGUAAGAGAAGAACGAGUGUGAGAGUGGAAAGUUCACACUGUGACGGUAGCUUACCAGAAAGGGACGGCUAACUACGUG
rnacentral:rRNA from 1 species